GAUGAACGCUAGCUACAGGCUUAACACAUGCAAGUCGAGGGGCAGCAUGGUCUUAGCUUGCUAAGGCCGAUGGCGACCGGCGCACGGGUGAGUAACACGUAUCCAACCUGCCGUCUACUCUUGGACAGCCUUCUGAAAGGAAGAUUAAUACAAGAUGGCAUCAUGAGUCCGCAUGUUCACAUGAUUAAAGGUAUUCCGGUAGACGAUGGGGAUGCGUUCCAUUAGAUAGUAGGCGGGGUAACGGCCCACCUAGUCUUCGAUGGAUAGGGGUUCUGAGAGGAAGGUCCCCCACAUUGGAACUGAGACACGGUCCAAACUCCUACGGGAGGCAGCAGUGAGGAAUAUUGGUCAAUGGGCGAGAGCCUGAACCAGCCAAGUAGCGUGAAGGAUGACUGCCCUAUGGGUUGUAAACUUCUUUUAUAAAGGAAUAAAGUCGGGUAUGUAUACCCGUUUGCAUGUACUUUAUGAAUAAGGAUCGGCUAACUCCGUGCCAGCAGCCGCGGUAAUACGGAGGAUCCGAGCGUUAUCCGGAUUUAUUGGGUUUAAAGGGAGCGUAGAUGGAUGUUUAAGUCAGUUGUGAAAGUUUGCGGCUCAACCGUAAAAUUGCAGUUGAUACUGGAUAUCUUGAGUGCAGUUGAGGCAGGCGGAAUUCGUGGUGUAGCGGUGAAAUGCUUAGAUAUCACGAAGAACUCCGAUUGCGAAGGCAGCCUGCUAAGCUGCAACUGACA
rnacentral:rRNA from 1 species